AGAGUUUGAUCCUGGCUCAGAGUGAACGCUGGCGGCAGGCCUAACACAUGCAAGUCGAACGGCAGCACAGCAGUAGCAAUACUGUGGGUGGCGAGUGGCGGACGGGUGAGGAAUGCGUCGGAAUCUGCCUUUUUGUGGGGGAUAACGUAGGGAAACUUACGCUAAUACCGCAUACGACCUACGGGUGAAAGUGGGGGACCUUCGGGCCUCACGCAGAAAGAUGAGCCGACGCCGGAUUAGCUAGUUGGCGGGGUAAAGGCCCACCAAGGCGACGAUCCGUAGCUGGUCUGAGAGGAUGAUCAGCCACACUGGGACUGAGACACGGCCCAGACUCCUACGGGAGGCAGCAGUGGGGAAUAUUGGACAAUGGGCGCAAGCCUGAUCCAGCCAUGCCGCGUGUGUGUAGAAGGCCUUCGGGUUGUAAAGCACUUUUGUCCGGAAAGAAAAGCUUCGGGUUAAUAACCUGGAGUCAUGACGGUACCGA
rnacentral:rRNA from 1 species